rnacentral:rRNA from 1 species
CCUAAGGUAGCGAAAUUCCUUGUCGGGUAAGUUCCGACCCGCACGAAAGGCGUAACGAUUUGGGCACUGUCUCAACAAUAGACUCGGUGAAAUUGUAAUCCCGGUGAAGAUGCCGGGUACCUGCGACAGGACGGAAAGACCCCAUGGAGCUUUACUGUAGCUUGACGUUGGGUCUUGGUACUACAUGUACAGGAUAGGUGGGAGACUAUGAAGCAUGGACGCCAGUCUGUGUGGAGUCAUCCUUGGGAUACCACCCUUGUAGUACUGGGAUCCUAACCAUAGGCCUUGAAUCAGGUCUUGGAACACCGUCAGGUGGGCAGUUUGACUGGGGCGGUCGCCUCCUAAAAAGUAACGGAGGCGCUCAAAGGUUUCCUCAGCACGGUCGGAAAUCGUGCGAAGAGUGUAAAGGCAAAAGGAAGCUUGAUUGCAAGACAUACAGGUCGAGCAAGGACGAAAGUCGGACUUAGUGAUCCGGUGGUUCCGCAUGGAAGGGCCAUCGCUCAACGGAUAAAAGCUACCCUGGGGAUAACAGGCUGAUCUCCCCCAAGAGUCCACAUCGACGGGGAGGUUUGGCACCUCGAUGUCGGCUCAUCACAUCCUGGGGCUGUAGUAGGUCCCAAGGGUUGGGCUGUUCGCCCAUUAAAGUGGUACGCGAGCUGGGUUCAAAACGUCGUGAGACAGUUUGGUUCAUAUCCAUCGCGGGCGCAAGAAGUUUGAGGGAGGCUGCUCCUAGUACGAGAGGACCGGAGUGGACGGAUCAACGGUGUACCAGUUGUCACGCCAGUGGCACGGCUGGAAAGCCGCAUCCGGAAAGGAUAAACGCUGAAAGCAUCUAAGCGUGAAGCCCGUCCCGAGAUGAGACUUCUCAUCAGCAAUGAGUAAGACCCCUUAAAGACGAUGAGGUUGAUAGGCUGUGAGUGGAAGGCCCGUAAGGGUUGGAGCGACGCAGUACUAAUAGGUCGAGGUCUUAACUU